rnacentral:rRNA from 1 species
AGUGAACGCUGGCGGUAGGCCUAACACAUGCAAGUCGAACGGCAGCACAGUAAGAGCUUGCUCUUACGGGUGGCGAGUGGCGGACGGGUGAGGAAUACAUCGGAAUCUACUUUUUUCGUGGGGGAUAAGGUGGGGAAACUUACGCUAUUACCGCUUACGACCUACGGGUGAAACCAGGGGAUCUUCGGCCCUUGCGCGAUUGAAUGAGCCGAUGUCGGAUUAGCUAGUUGGCGGGGUAAAGGCCCACCAAGGCGACGAUCCGUAGCUGGUCUGAGAGGAUGAUCAGCCACACUGGAACUGAGACACGGUCCAGACUCCUACGGGAGGCAGCAGUGGGGAAUAUUGGACAAUGGGCGCAAGCCUGAUCCAGCCAUACCGCGUGGGUGAAGAAGGCCUUCGGGUUGUAAAGCCCUUUUGUUGGGAAAGAAAAGCAGCAGGUUAAUACCCCGCUGUUCUGACGGUACCCAAAGAAUAAGCACCGGCUAACUUCGUG